rnacentral:lncRNA from 12 species
CAGAGUCUUAUUACUGUAACAUAAAGCAGUAAUAGCUGGAAGUUAUAGAGGAAUUUUGAACACCUUUGAGUAGUUCACCUCUUCUAAUCUGCUGGUUGUUGCCUGGUGGUAUGUCCUGUAUUUGAGAUACAAGAAGCAUUCCACUUUUUCUAUUAAGA